CCGGGAUUGCCUUAGUAACGGCGAGUGAAGCGGCAAAAGCUCAAAUUUGAAAUCUGGUACCUUCGGUGCCCGAGUUGUAAUUUGGAGAGGGCAACUUUGGGGCCGUUCCUUGUCUAUGUUCCUUGGAACAGGACGUCAUAGAGGGUGAGAAUCCCGUGUGGCGAGGAGUGCGGUUCUUUGUAAAGUGCCUUCGAAGAGUCGAGUUGUUUGGGAAUGCAGCUCUAAGUGGGUGGUAAAUUCCAUCUAAAGCUAAAUAUUGGCGAGAGACCGAUAGCGAACAAGUACAGUGAUGGAAAGAUGAAAAGAACUUUGAAAAGAGAGUGAAAAAGUACGUGAAAUUGUUGAAAGGGAAGGGCAUUUGAUCAGACAUGGUGUUUUGUGCCCUCUGCUCCUUGUGGGUAGGGGAAUCUCGCAUUUCACUGGGCCAGCAUCAGUUUUGGUGGCAGGAUAAAUCCAUAGGAAUGUAGCUUGCCUCGGUAAGUAUUAUAGCCUGUGGGAAUACUGCCAGCUGGGACUGAGGACUGCGACGUAAGUCAAGGAUGCUGGCAUAAUGGUUAUAUGCCGC
rnacentral:rRNA from 1 species